CUACGGGCGGCUGCAGUGAGGGAUUUUGCGCAAUGGGGGGAACCCUGACGCAGCAACGCCGCGUGAGUGAAGAAGGCCCUUGGGUCGUAAAGCUCUGUCAACAGGGAAGAAGUUAUGGAUUUUUAAUAGAGAUUUGUAUUGACGGUACCUGUGAAGGAAGCACCGGCUAACUCCGUGCCAGCAGCCGCGGUAAUACGGGGGGUGCAAGCGUUAUUCGGAAUUAUUGGGCGUAAAGGGCGCGCAGGCGGCCUUGUCAGUCAGAUGUGAAAGGCCAGGGCUCAACCCUGGAAGUACAUUUGAAACAGCAAGGCUUGAGUACGGUAGAGGAAAGGGGAAUUCCUGGUGUAGAGGUGAAAUUCGUAGAUAUCAGGAGGAACACCGGUGGCGAAGGCGCCUUUCUGGACCUGUACUGACGCUGAGGCGCGAAGGCGUGGGUAGCGAACAGGAUUAGAUACCCUGGUAGUC
rnacentral:rRNA from 1 species